CACAGAGAGGUAUUGCAACUUCAUAAUGUAGCACAAAAAAAUGUUGACUACUGGCUCACACUUGUUGCCAAUGUUUUGUGAGCUACCAUAAUUACACUGGGAGAAUUAAUGAGAAAAGAACCCCAACACAUCUGAGGAGAGAAGUCUCUUGAACACAUACCUGCAUUCUCGUCGUGUUGUGGACUAUUGCCCUCUGGAGUUCAAAGCUGGGAUGAGCGUUUUCCCAACGUGUCUUUCCCGUUCAGACAGAAGAUUGCACUAUUCGCCUCUUUUGCCUCGGCUGAGUGAGUUUACAACUAAGAAGGAAUUUUUCUGGCUUUCACUGAGCCCGGUUUACCCGCAGAGACAGCACUGAAAUAUUUGCUCCUUGGAAUUACAUCUUUUUCUUUGGGGUCAAGCCAGCAGUGGAGCUAAUCCUUGUUCAUUACAUCAUUAAUGCUUAUCUCAGCCAUAGAACUAUUUUAAAGACA